GCAGCAGCCGCGGGAAUACAGAGGUCCCGAGCGUUGUUCGGAUUCACUGGGCGUAAAGGGUGUGUAGGAGGUUUGGUAAGUCAGGUGUGAAAUCCCGCAGCUCAACUGCGGAACUGCAUUCGAUACUGCCGAACUAGAGGCUUGGAGGGGGAAGCGGAAUUCUUGGUGUAGCGGUGAAAUGCGUAGAUAUCAAGAGGAACACCGGUGGCGAAGGCGGCUUCCUGGACAAGUCCUGACUCUGAAACACGAAAGCCAGGGGAGCGAAUGGGAUUAGAUACCCCCGUAGUCCCUGUCUCUUAUAC
rnacentral:rRNA from 1 species